AGCGGGUGCUGCGGUGGGCCGGGCGCGGAUCUGACAAAAGCCAAGCUGCAGGAAAAUGGACAGUGAGGUACAGAGAGAUGGAAGGAUCUUGGAUUUGAUUGACGAUGCUUGGCGGGAAGACAAGCGACCUUAUGAAGACGUUGCUAUACCACUGAAUGAGCUUCCUGAACCUGAACAAGACAACGGUGGCACCACAGAAUCUGUCGAAGAGCAAGAAAUGAAGUGGACAGACUUAGCCUUACAGUACCUCCAUGAGAACGUCCCCCCCAUUGGAAACUGACACGUGGCUCCUUCCUUAUGAUGCAUUUUUAUAAAAUACACAGAUACAAAAUGUUUUCUUUUAGUCCCCUAAUUCAAAUCUUUUGAGUAGUAAAUCAAUACUCAAAAAUGUAUACCCAGUUAGUUUAUAGCAGCAAGAUGCAAUGUGAAAAUAUUCACCAGAAUGAGAAACUAAGAUUUCUCAGGAGUGUAGAAUAUUUGACUCUUUAAACCCUA